rnacentral:rRNA from 1 species
GGGAGUGGCGCGUGCUUACCAUGGCAGUCGAACGAAGCGCGCGGAAGGAAGGCCUUCGGGCCGGAGAGCCGCGGGACUGAGUGGCGGACGGGUGAGUAACGCGUGGGCAACCUGCCCCGUACAGGGGGAUAACAGCCGGAAACGGCUGCUAAUACCGCAUAAGCGCACAGCGCCGCAUGGCGCGGUGUGAAAAGCUCCGGCGGUACGGGAGGGGCCCGCGUCUGAUUAGGCAGUUGGCGGGGCAGCGGCCCACCAAACCGACGAUCAGUAGCCGGCCUGAGAGGGCGGCCGGCCACAUUGGGACUGAGACACGGCCCAAACUCCUGCGGGAGGCAGCAGUGGGGAAUAUUGCACAAUGGGGGAAACCCUGAUGCAGCGACGCCGCGUGAGCGAAGAAGUAUUUCGGUAUGUAAAGCUCUAUCAGCAGGGAAGAAAAAAAUGACGGUACCUGAGCAAGAAGCACCGGCUAAAUACGUGCCAGCAGCCGCGGUAAUACGUAUGGUGCAAGCGUUAUCCGGAUUUACUGGGUGUAAAGGGAGCGUAGGCGGCGCGUUAAGUCUGAUGUGAAAACCCGAGGCUCAACCACGGGAGUGCAUUGGAAACUGGCGGGCUGGAGUGCCGGAGAGGUAAGCGGAAUUCCUAGUGUAGCGGUGAAAUGCGUAGAUAUUAGGAGGAACACCAGUGGCGAAGGCGGCUUACUGGACGGCAACUGACGCUGAGGCUCGAAAGCGUGGGGAGCAAACAGGAUUAGAUACCCUGGUAGUCCACGCCGUANACGAUGAAUACCAGGUGUANGAUGU